rnacentral:rRNA from 1 species
UACCAGCACCCCGAGUGGUCGGGACGUUUUAUUGGGCCUAAAGCAUCCGUAGCCGGUUCUACAAGUCUUCCGUUAAAUCCAACUGCUUAACAGGUGGGCUGCGGAAGAUACUAUGAGCUAGGAGGCGGGAGAGGCAAGCGGUACUCGAUGGGUAGGGGUAAAAUCCGUUGAUCCAUUGAAGACCACCAGUGGCGAAGGCGGCUUGCCAGAACGCGCUCGACGGUGAGGGAUGAAAGCUGGGGGAGCAAACCGGG